rnacentral:rRNA from 1 species
CCUACGGGAGGCAGCAGUGGGGGAUAUUGCACAAUGGGGGGAACCCUGAUGCAGCGACGCCGCGUGGGUGAAGGAGUAUUUCUGUAUGUAAAGCCCUAUCGGCAGGGAAGAAUUUAGACGGUACCUGACUCAGAAGCCCCGGCUAACUACGUGCCAGCAGCCACGGUAAUACGUAGGGGGCAAGCGUUAUCCGGAUUCACUGGGUGUAAAGGGAGCGUAGACGGCCAGGCAAGCCUGGAGUGAAAGCCCGGGGCCCAACCCCGGGACUGCUCUGGGAACUGUCCGGCUGGAGUGCGGGAGGGGCAGGCGGAAUUCCUGGUGUAGCGGUGAAAUGCGUAGAUAUCAGGAGGAACACCGGCGGCGAAGGCGGCCUGCUGGACCGCGACUGACGUUGAGGCUCGAAAGCGUGGGGAGCGAACAGGAUUAGAUACCCGGGUAGUC